AAAAUGGCUACCCGAAUCGGAAGGCUGUCCGCCGCCGCCCGACGCGGGGAAUUCUAAAAGACGGAAUGCACUCGGAGAAAGCUGUAUCAAGAGGUUUUCGGACAGGGGUUCGACUCCCCUCGCCUCCACCA
rnacentral:tmRNA from 1 species